UGGAAGCGUCUGGAAAGGCGCGCGAUACAGGGUGACAGCCCCGUACACAAAAAUGCACAUGCUGUGAGCUCGAUGAGUAGGGCGGGACACGUGGUAUCCUGUCUGAAUAUGGGGGGACCAUCCUCCAAGGCUAAAUACUCCUGACUGACCGAUAGUGAACCAGUACCGUGAGGGAAAGGCGAAAAGAACCCCGGCGAGGGGAGUGAAAAAGAACCUGAAACCGUGUACGUACAAGCAGUGGGAGCACGCUUAGGCGUGUGACUGCGUACCUUUUGUAUAAUGGGUCAGCGACUUAUAUUCUGUAGCAAGGUUAACCGAAUAGGGGAGCCGAAGGGAAACCGAGUCUUAACUGGGCGUUAAGUUGCAGGGUAUAGACCCGAAACCCGGUGAUCUAGCCAUGGGCAGGUUGAAGGUUGGGUAACACUAACUGGAGGACCGAACCGACUAAUGUUGAAAAAUUAGCGGAUGACUUGUGGCUGGGGGUGAAAGGCCAAUCAAACCGGGAGAUAGCUGGUUCUCCCCGAAAGCUAUUUAGGUAGCGCCUCGUGAAUUCAUCUCCGGGGGUAGAGCACUGUUUCGGCAAGGGGGUCAUCCCGACUUACCAACCCGAUGCAAACUGCGAAUACCGGAGAAUGUUAUCACGGGAGACACACGGCGGGUGCUAACGUCCGUCGUGAAGAGGGAAACAACCCAGACCGCCAGCUAAGGUCCCAAAGUCAUGGUUAAGUGGGAAACGAUGUGGGAAGGCCCAGACAGCCAGGAUGUUGGCUUAGAAGCAGCCAUCAUUUAAAGAAAGCGUAAUAGCUCACUGGUCGAGUCGGCCUGCGCGGAAGAUGUAACGGGGCUAAACCAUGCACCGAAGCUGCGGCAGCGACGCUUAUGCGUUGUUGGGUAGGGGAGCGUUCUGUAAGCCUGUGAAGGUGUGCUGUGAGGCAUGCUGGAGGUAUCAGAAGUGCGAAUGCUGACAUAAGUAACGAUAAAGCGGGUGAAAAGCCCGCUCGCCGGAAGACCAAGGGUUCCUGUCCAACGUUAAUCGGGGCAGGGUGAGUCGACCCCUAAGGCGAGGCCGAAAGGCGUAGUCGAUGGGAAACAGGUUAAUAUUCCUGUACUUGGUGUUACUGCGAAGGGGGGACGGAGAAGGCUAUGUUGGCCGGGCGACGGUUGUCCCGGUUUAAGCGUGUAGGCUGGUUUUCCAGGCAAAUCCGGAAAAUCAAGGCUGAGGCGUGAUGACGAGGCACUACGGUGCUGAAGCAACAAAUGCCCUGCUUCCAGGAAAAGCCUCUAAGCAUCAGGUAACAUCAAAUCGUACCCCAAACCGACACAGGUGGUCAGGUAGAGAAUACCAAGGCGCUUGAGAGAACUCGGGUGAAGGAACUAGGCAAAAUGGUGCCGUAACUUCGGGAGAAGGCACGCUGAUACGUAGGUGAAGUC
rnacentral:rRNA from 1 species